rnacentral:rRNA from 2 species
CCCGAUGAACCUGAAUAUCCGUUAUGGAAAAUUCAUCAUUAAUAUUAUUAUAUUUAAAAAUAUAAUAAAAAUAGUGUGCAAUUUUUCCAUAUAAGGACAUUGUAAUCUGUUAAUGUUUUAAAUAUUUAUCAAAAAGUCUAUAACAUAAGUUUAUUCAAAUUAGUUAUUUUCGAAUUUCUAACAUAGAAUAAUUGUAUUAGAUUCGAUAAAUCAUUGACAGAUUUUACUAUAUAUAAUGCUUAAAUUCAUUUUUGAAUUUUAUAAUUAUAAUAAAAAUUUAUUUUUAUUUAUAAUUAUAUGCAUUUAUAUGAUUAACAAUGCGAUAGAUUCAGGAUACCUUCGGGACCCGUCUUGAAACACGGACCAAGGAGUCUAACAUAUGUGCAAGUCAUUGGGUAUUUUUAAUAAAACCCAAUGGCAUAAUUAACUUAACUGUUUUUUAAUGGGAUUAGUUUAUAUUUUAUUAUGAAAUAAAAAUUCAAUCCCGGGGCGUUCUAUACAGUUAUGCAUAAUGAUAUUUAUAUUAUUUAUGCCUCUAACUAGAGCGUACCUUGAGCAUAUAUGCUGUGACCC